ACGUUGAUAGUACAAAGGCAAGAGCGCGCGCCUCCGGAAAGCGUGAGAUGUACGGGGUUCGAGUCCCGCUUGACGUA